CCAGACUCCUACGGGAGGCAGCAGUGGGGGAUAUUGCACAAUGGGGGGAACCCUGAUGCAGCGACGCCGCGUGGGUGAAGAAGCGCCUCGGCGCGUAAAGCCCUGUCAGCAGGGAAGAAAAUGACGGUACCUGAAGAAGAAGCCCCGGCUAACUACGUGCCAGCAGCCGCGGUAAUACGUAGGGGGCAAGCGUUAUCCGGAUUUACUGGGUGUAAAGGGAGCGUAGACGGCCAGGCAAGUCUGGAGUGAAAGCCCGGGGCUCAACCCCGGGACUGCUUUGGAAACUGCCAGGCUGGAGUGCUGGAGAGGCAAGCGGAAUUCCUAGUGUAGCGGUGAAAUGCGUAGAUAUUAGGAGGAACACCAGUGGCGAAGGCGGCUUACUGGACGGCAACUGACGCUGAGGCUCGAAAGCGUGGGGAGCAAACAGGAUUAGAUACCCUGGUA
rnacentral:rRNA from 1 species